CCUACGGGUGGCAGCAGUGGGGGAUAUUGCACAAUGGGGGAAACCCUGAUGCAGCGACGCCGCGUGGGUGAAGAAGCGCCUCGGCGCGUAAAGCUCUGUCAGCAGGGAAGAAAAUGACGGUACCUGAAGAAUACGCCCCGGCUAACUACGUGCCAGCAGCCGCGGUAAUACGUAGGGGGCAAGCGUUAUCCGGAUUUACUGGGUGUAAAGGGGGCGCAGACGGCGAUGCAAGCCAGGAGUGAAAGCCCGGGGCCCAACCCCGGGACUGCUCGUGGAACUGCGUGGCUAGAGUGCAGGAGGGGUAGGCGGAAUUCCUGGUGUAGCGGUGAAAUGCGUAGAUAUUAGGAGGAACACCGGUGGCGAAGGCGGCCUGCUGGACUGCAACUGACGUUGAGGCCCGAAAGCGUGGGGAGCAAACAGGAUUAGAUACCCCGGUAGUC
rnacentral:rRNA from 1 species